CAUAAGGAAAGCGUCCACCUCCCAGCCCCGAUGCUCUUUUUGCAUCAUCUUCUCUGACUGCCCUCGAAUGUCUUCAGUGCAACAGUGAACAGAGGCAGUGACACGGCAUCCUCACUGUGUUCUUGGUGUUAAAGAAAAGAUCUGCUGUAUGGCCUAGCACACAAUCACUUUUUAAGACAAUAUCAACCAAGAAGAAUGGACAUGCUCUAGUUGUUAAAGGUGGUUUUGUAUGAGUUUCUGCAGCUACAAUGCUUGUGUGCGAGGGGAGAGUCCACCGUGCACUCACUGCUACUCCAGAAGCUGGUUCUUAUCUGACUCUGCAACUCACAUCCUCGCCAAACAAAGACCCUCUGGACAGCCAGCAUGUGCCAGGCUCUUCAGCCGUUAUUUGCUGAAUGUCUCAUCAUCUCAUCAUGCUAAUUAAAGAACAUUUAAAAAAUUCUGAAUGUGCAUGUACUGUUAAUCUGUGAAAGCAACAAAACAAGCAUAAGGAAGAAGAAAAACAAAACUGUUGAUUCAUAGAGGGGGUUUCAGAGAGCCUAUAAUUUAAUUUCUGAGGCUUCAAAUGCCCCUUCCCAACUUUUCAAAAAUAUUUAUUUUU